GGGGUCGACAUUGGAUUUGACAGCGGUAGCGAUUGCGGUGGGAAGCAUGCCGAGCGGUGAACUGAAGCUCGUAAAUAUCUUGGUUCGAACCAUAAUUGACAAUACGUCAUACGCACUUGCUGCUUAAUUUACAAGGUAAAUUCGGCUUAAUCCAGUGGAAGAUAUAGUACACGGACAAGUUUCUCCUCUGCCGGUUUUGAUUUUCGGUUGGUAGGUUUUGGAGAAUCAUUUUGAAAAUCUGGCACCAAACUUGCCUCGCGGGCGGUGUAAGAUUUUAGAGGCUAAGUUGAAGUAAUGGGUGUUUUUGUCCGGACUUCUUCCUACAAUUAAUCAAAAACUAAGCAUGUAGAAGACAUUGGGAUUCAUCGUUUGGACGAGGGUUCGAACCCCUCCGACUCCACCU
rnacentral:tmRNA from 1 species